rnacentral:rRNA from 1 species
ACGGAAGGCAGCAGUGGGGGAUAUUGCACAAUGGAGGAAACUCUGAUGCAGCAACGCCGCGUGAGGGAAGAAGGUUUUCGGAUUGUAAACCUCUGUUUUUAGUGAAGAAACAAAUGACGGUAGCUAAAGAGGAAGCCACGGCUAACUACGUGCCAGCAGCCGCGGUAAUACGUAGGUGGCAAGCGUUGUCCGGAUUUACUGGGUGUAAAGGGUGCGCAGGCGGGACUGCAAGUUGGAUGUGAAAUACCGGAGCUUAACUCCGGAACUGCAUCCAAAACUGUAGUUCUUGAGUGGAGUAGAGGUAAGCGGAAUUCCGAGUGUAGCGGUGAAAUGCGUAGAUAUUCGGAGGAACACCAGUGGCGAAGGCGGCUUACUGGGCUCUAACUGACGCUGAGGCACGAAAGCAUGGGUAGCAAACAGGAUUAGAUACCCUGGUA